ACAACUCUUAUGAAAGAAAGCCUUUAAUUGG
rnacentral:piRNA from 1 species